GACGAACGCUGGCGGCGUGCUUAACACAUGCAAGUCGAACGAAAAGAGGGAAAGAGCUUGCUCUUUCCGGAAUUGAGUGGCAAACGGGUGAGUAACACGUAAACAACCUGCCUUCAGGAUGGGGACAACAGACGGAAACGACUGCUAAUACCGAAUAAGUUCCAAGAGCCGCAUGGCCCAUGGAAGAAAAGGUGGCCUCUACCUGUAAGCUAUCGCCUGAAGAGGGGUUUGCGUCUGAUUAGCCGGUUGGAGGGGUAACGGCCCACCAAGGCGCCGAUCAGUAGCCGGUCUGAGAGGAUGAACGGCCACACUGGAACUGAGACACGGUCCAGACUCCUACGGGAGGCAGCAGUGGGGGAUCUUCCGCAAUGGGCGAAAGCCUGACGGAGCAACGCCGCGUGAGUGAUGACGGCCUUCGGGUUGUAAAACUCUGUGAUCCGGGACGAAAAGGCAGAGUGCGAAGAACAAACUGCAUUGACGGUACCGGAAAAGCAAGCCACGGCUAACUACGUG
rnacentral:rRNA from 1 species